GACGGAGGGUGCGAGCGUUAUUCGGAAUCAUUGGGCGUAAAGAGCGUGUAGGCGGCCGGUUAAGUCAGGUGUGAAAGCCCGGGGCUCAACCUCGGAAGUGCACUUGAAACUGGUCGGCUUGAGUUCGGGAGAGGGAAGCGGAAUUCCUGGUGUAGAGGUGAAAUUCGUAGAUAUCAGGAGGAACACCGGUGGCGAAGGCGGCUUCCUGGACCGAAACUGACGCUGAGACGCGAAAGCGUGUGGAGCAAACAGG
rnacentral:rRNA from 1 species